AGCACUCAUGUAGAUUUUUAUUUGAUGUGUGAACAAAAACUUAUUGACACAGGUACAAAAACAAAAUCCUAUUUUGCAACUCGGGACUCAUUGUUCUGUAUGAGUUCUGGUACAGAUAACAGGGAACAUA